CUAGAGCUUAGGGCCUGCGAGGGGACAGGCUAGCAGGUGGGAGCAGUCAGACUAUGCUCUGCAAGCUGACAAAAACUCAAAUCAAACUACAUGAAGCGCAAGAGCGGAUUAGCCAUAAAGAUUCUGGUGUCGCAGGAUAACCAUUAACAGGAAUGUGGCAGCGCUUGAAUCCUCAUCCAGGAAAGGGAUUCCAGUUGGUUAUCACAGACAUACCAGCUCUUACAGUGAAAACCAACUGAAGAUAUCAAAGGCUACUUCUAUUUUAUGGGAAACAAAUAUGCGAGCUCUGACUCUUCUGGGGAACCAAAGUUCUCUUCGGUGUACCAAAAAGGUUACUCCUACUUGGCAUCUUCAAACAAUGACUCACGUUUGCGGCUUCCCUUCAAGAGCUGCUCCUUUGGCUAAUUUGAAUUUCAAGAAUCUCCUUGGAAAGAGGAGCCCAAUGGUAAAACAC